GAUCAUGGCUCAGAUUGAACGCUGGCGGCAUGCUUUACACAUGCAAGUCAAACGGUAACAGGUUAAGCUGACGAGUGGCGAACGGGUGAGUAAUGCAUCGGAACGUGCCCAGUCGUGGGGGAUAACGCAGCGAAAGCUGUGCUAAUACCGCAUACGAUCUAUGGAUAAAGCGGGGGACCGUAAGGCCUCGCGCGAUUGGAGCGGCCGAUGUCAGAUUAGCCAGUUGGUGGGGUAAUGGCUUACCAAGACUAUGACACAUAACUGGUUUGAGAGGACGACCAGCCACACUGGGACUGAGACACGGCCCAGACUCCUACGGGAGGCAGCAGUGGGGAAUUUUGGACAAUGGGCGCAAGCCUGAUCCAGCAAUGCCGCGUGCAGGAAGAAGGCCUUCGGGUUGUAAACUGCUUUUGUCAGGGAAGAAAUCCUCUAGGUUAAUACCCUUGGGGGAUGACGGUACCUGAAGAAUAAGCACCGGCUAACUACGUG
rnacentral:rRNA from 1 species